AGCUCCAGUAGCGUAUAUUAACGUUGUUGCAGUUAAAAAGCUCGUAGUUGGAUUUCUGGUGAGAUUGACCCGGCCCCGUCCGAUAGGAUGUGAGUGCGGGUGUCUUUCUGCCAUCCUUCUAGAGAACGGUUCUGCCCUUCAUUGGGUCGGUGCCGCUAUCUAGAUCUUUUACUUUGAAAAAUUAGAGUGUUUAAAGCAGGCAUUGCAUUGAAUACAUUAGCAUGGAAUAAUAAUAUAGGACUUCGGUCUCUAUUUUGUUGGUUUCUAGAACUGAAGUAAUGAUUGAUAGGGAUAGUUGGGGGUNCUAGUAUUCAGCGGCCAGAGGUGAAAUUCUUGGAUUCGCUGAAGACUAACUUAUGCGAAAGCAUUCACCAAGGAUGUCUUCU
rnacentral:rRNA from 1 species